ACAGAAUUGUUCUUUCAUUGUACAAACACAACAGGACUGUUCUUCAAUUAUAGAAACAUGACAACAGAAUUGUCCUUCAAUUCUGCAAACACAACCGACCUAUUCUUCAAUUAUACAAACCCAACAACAGAAUUGUCCUUUCAUUGUACAAACACAACAGAUUCAUCCUUAACUUCUUCAAGCACAACAACAG